rnacentral:rRNA from 1 species
CCUACGGGAGGCAGCAGUGGGGAGUCUUGGACAAUGGGCGCAAGCCUGAUCCAGCCAUGCCGCGUGAGUGAUGAAGGCCCUAGGGUCGUAAAGCUCUUUCGCCAGGGAUGAUAAUGACAGUACCUGGUAAAGAAACCCCGGCUAACUCCGUGCCAGCAGCCGCGGUAAUACGGAGGGGGUUAGCGUUGUUCGGAAUUACUGGGCGUAAAGCGCACGUAGGCGGAUCGGAAAGUUGGGGGUGAAAUCCCGGGGCUCAACCCCGGAACUGCCUCCAAAACUAUCGGUCUAGAGUUCGAGAGAGGUGAGUGGAAUUCCGAGUGUAGAGGUGAAAUUCGUAGAUAUUCGGAGGAACACCAGUGGCGAAGGCGGCUCACUGGCUCGAUACUGACGCUGAGGUGCGAAAGUGUGGGGAGCAAACAGGAUUAGAUACCCUGGUAGUCCACACCGUAAACGAUGAAUGCCAGUCGUCGGGUAGCAUGCUAUUCGGUGACACACCUAACGGAUUAAGCAUUCCGCCUGGGGAGUACGGUCGCAAGAUUAAAACUCAAAGGAAUUGACGGGG